rnacentral:rRNA from 1 species
GGUGAGUAACACGUGGGCAACCUGCCCCAGAGAGCGGGACAACCCGAGGAAACUCGGGCUAAUACCGCAUGAUGCGUCUCCACUUAAGUGGAGCCGCCAAAUGGUAGCUUCGGCCUCCGCUCUGGGAUGGGCCCGCGUCGGAUUAGCUUGUUGGUUGGGGUAACGGCCCACCAAGGCGACGAUCCGUAGCUGGUCUGAGAGGACGAUCAGCCACACUGGGACUGAGACACGGCCCAGACUCC